AAUAUUGGACAAGGGGCGCAAGCCUGAUCCAGCCAUGCCGCGUGAGUGAUGAAGGCCNNNGGGUUNUAAAGCUCUUUUGUCCGNGAANAUAAUGACGGUACCGGAAGAAUAAGCCCCGGCUAACUUCGUGCCAUCAGCCGCGGUAAUACGAAGGGGGCUAGCGUUGCUCGGAAUCACUGGGCGUAAAGGGCGCGUGGGCGGACGUUUAAGUCAGGGGUGAAAUCCCGGGGCUCAACCUCGGAAUUGCCUUUGAUACUGGAUGUCUCGAGACCGGAAGAGGUAAGUAGAACUGCGAGUGUAGAGGUGAAAUUCGUAGAUAUUCGCAAGAGAACCAGUGGCGAAGGCGGCUUACUGGUCCGGUUCUGACGCUGAGGCGCGAAAGCGUGGGGAGCAAACAGG
rnacentral:rRNA from 1 species